rnacentral:tRNA from 1 species
GCCCACGUAGCUCAACGGACAGAGCAUCGGUUUACGAAGCCGCAGGCUGCUGGUUCAAAUCCAGCCGUGGGCA